rnacentral:rRNA from 1 species
GGUAACUUAGUCUUAUAUUCACUAUUAGUGGAUCACAAAUCUAUUCACCUAUAUCACCAUUCAAGAAGAGUUUAUUCUAUCUCCCCGUCACCCCAACCAAACAAAUUUUAAUCAAACCCCCUCUCUCCCCAAAUAAGUUUAUUAUACACAAAUUGUCAAACUCUAUAGGGUCUUCUCGUCCUCCAACCUUAUUUUAGCCUUUUAACUAAAAAGUUAAAUUUUAACCCAAUCCCCAUGAGACAGUAAACACCUCGUCCAACCAUUCAUACCAGCCUCUAAUUAAGAGACUAAUGAUUAUGCUACCUUUGCACGGUCAAAAUACCGCGGCCCUUCAAUUUUUCAGCGGGCAGGCCAGACCUCUUAUAUUGACAAGAUAGCG